rnacentral:rRNA from 1 species
UCUGACGGAGCAUGCCGCGUGAGGGAAGAAGGUUUUCGGAUUGUAAACCUCUGUUGUAAGGGAAGAACGACUAUAGUAGGGAAUGGCUAUAGAGUGACGGUACCUUACCAGAAAGGGACGGCUAACUACGUGCCAGCAGCCGCGGUAAU